CCUACGGGAGGCAGCAGUGGGGAAUAUUGGGCAAUGGAGGAAACUCUGACCCAGCAACGCCGCGUGCAGGAUGAAGGUUUUCGGAUUGUAAACUUCUGUCGCGAGGGAUGAAGAAUGACGGUACCUCGUAAGAAAGCCCCGGCAAACUACGUGACAACAGCCGCGGUAAUACGUAGGAGGCGACCGUUGUCCGGAGUGACUGGGAGUAAAGGGAGUGUAGGCGGCAUAUUAAGUUCUGUGUGAAAGCCCGCGGCGCAACCGCGGAAUUGCACAUAAAACUGGUAAGCUGGAGGGCAGGGGAGGUAAGUGGAAUUCCUGGUGUAGCGGUGGAAUGCGUAGAUAUCGGGAGGAACACCAGAGGCGAAGGCGACUUACUGGACUGUAACUGACGCUGAGGCUCGAAAGCGUGGGGAGCAAACAGGAUUAGAUACCCUUGUAGUC
rnacentral:rRNA from 1 species